CCUACGGGAGGCAGCAGUGGGGGAUAUUGCACAAUGGGGGAAACCCUGAUGCAGCGACGCCGCGUGGGUGAAGAAGCGCCUCGGCGCGUAAAGCCCUGUCAGCAGGGAAGAAAAUGACGGUACCUGAAGAAGAAGCCCCGGCUAACUACGGGCCAGCAGCCGCGGUAAUACGUAGGGGGCCAGCGUUAUCCGGAUUUACUGGGUGUAAAGGGGGCGCAGACGGCGAUGCAAGCCAGGAGUGAAAGCCCGGGGCCCAACCCCGGGACUGCUCUUGGAACCGGCUGGCUAGAGUGCAGGAGGGGCAGGCGGAAUUCCUGGUGUAGCGGUGAAAUGCGUAGAUAUCAGGAGGAACACCGGUGGCGAAGGCGGCCUGCUGGACUGCAACUGACGUUGAGGCCCGAAAGCGUGGGGAGCAAACAGGAUUAGAUACCCUAGUAGUC
rnacentral:rRNA from 1 species